AUACCCAUGAAUGUUUUCGAAUAUCGAGUAGGACAUACGGUGUGUCGAGGCUACAAGCACAUGCUACACGAAGUACAGGGUAACUUUAGAUAUUUCGUUGUGUAUUCUGUGGAGGGCAACAAUGGAUCAACCUGCCCAGCUGCAUAUUGAUGAUACGUCGCUGGACGCCAACAUGGACACACUAUUCGACGGGUUUAUCUCGGGCACGCUAACUAUUGUACCGAGCUCUGCGGCGUCAGAUCCCACUGAAUUCGGAGACCUGGCUGCCUUCCAAGCACGCAUGACUCUUCCGCCUCACCGUCGGACUCUACCGCCCGCAACCGGCGCAGCAUCACAGCGUGUCGCACAAGACUCUCAGUGUGGACAGAUUACCUCGCUGGCCCCGCAAAACGUUGCCCCAUUUGGACAGACGUGCGGUACUGUUACAGAACAGAUGCUAAUGGACAUCAUCAACGUUGUCGCCAACCCUGUGUCCUCGGGUGCCGCUGUAUCGUCAAUGCAGCCGGAUGUGGCGCAAUCUGACACCAACGACCACAACAACGACCACACCCAUGACAACACCAUGAGCAUGUCACUUAACAACUCGUACGCGGCCAUACAAAAUGGUGGUUCAACUCUACCAGUUCUUUCUCAACUAACUGAACUGGAGCAGGGUUACGACUGUCCAGUUGGGACAAAUGGGGAAUUGAUGGACACUGGUCAAGCAGGUUUAAUGUCCAGUCUAGGUCCUGACGCACUGGAGACAAUACAGUUGCAUGAUAUGGCUACGAUCGGAGAUCCCAACUGUGCUGUUGGGGAAAGCAAUAUAGACCUCGGUACCCCGGAUGCAAGUCGAUCUAUGCAGACUCGCUCCCAGACACGGAAUAGGGUUCGGAGGACGAGGUCCAGAGUCUCUGAGAGUUCCAUGGACGAAACGUCGCAAGAGUUUAAGGAACACCUGAGGACUCUUGACUCCAAGGAACGCAAGCGGGUGUUGAACCGACUGGCGGCCAAGAGAUGCAGGGACAAGAAAUACGAGAAGGAACUGGAACUUGAAGCUAAAGCCAGACAGCUCCGUGAGCAACGCAGUGAGCUUCUGAGAGUCAAGGCCCAGCUGCAAGAGGAAAGCAAAUCAAUUGCCACCAGUCUCCGCCAGCACGCCUACUGUCUGAGGCGCUAGCCUACUGUCUGUCUGAGGCGCUAGCCUUCUGUGUGGUGGUUACAGAAGUUCACAAUGACACGGUGGUGGCUCACAAGAUUCCGAUAAUGUUUGUGGUGCUGCGUAGUGAAAUCCGGAACAUCACGUGGUGGUUAACAGGACGUUCUAAAUAUUCCAUGGAUAGCGUGCGAUCUGCAUAUAUCAAGGUGGCUGGCAUGAGUGAGUGAAUUACGCCGCUUUUAGCAAUAUUCCAGCAAUAUCACGGCGGGGGACACCAGAAAUGGGCUUCACAUAUUGUAAAUAUAUGUGGGGAAUCAAACCCGGAUCUUCGGCGUGACGAUCGUGAGAUCUGCAUAUUUCAAGGUGGCUAGCAUGAGAUCUGCAUAUUUCAAGGUGGCUAGCAUGAGAUCUGCACAUUUCAAGGUGGCUAGCAUGAGAUCUGCAUAUUUCAGGGUGGUUAGCAUGAGAUCUGCAUAUUUCAAUGUGGCUAGCAUGAGAUCUGCAUAUUUCAAUGUGGCUAGCAUGAGAUCUGCAUAUUUCAAUGUGGCUAGCAUGAGAUCUGCAUAUUUCAAUGUGGCUAGCAUGAGAUCUGCAUAUUUCAAGGUGGCUAGCAUGAGAUCUGCACAUUUCAAGGUGGCUAGCAUGAGAUCUGCAUAUUUUAAGGUGGCUAGCAUGAGAUCUGCAUAUUUCAGGGUGGUUAGCAUGAGAUCUGCAUAUUUCAAUGUGGCUAGCAUGAGAUCUGCAUAUUUCAAUGUGGCUAGCAUGAGAUCUGCAUAUUUCAAGGUGGCUAGCAUGAGAUCUGCAUAUUUCAAGGUGGCUAGCAUGAGAUCUGCACAUUUCAAGGUGGCUAGCAUGAGAUCUGCAUAUUUCAAGGUGGCUAGCAUGAGAUCUGCAUAUUUCAAGGUGGCUAUCAUGAGAUCUGCAUAUUUCAAGGUGGCUAGCAUGAGAUCUGCACAUUUCAAGGUGGCUAGCAUGAGAUCUGCAUAUUUCAAUGUGGCUAGCAUGAGAUCUGCAUAUUUCAAUGUGGCUAGCAUGAGAUCUGCAUAUUUCAAUGUGGCUAGCAUGAGAUCUGCAUAUUUCAAUGUGGCUAGCAUGAGAUCUGCAUAUUUCAGGGUGGCUAGCAUGAGAUCUGCAUAUUUCAAUGUGGCUAGCAUGAGAUCUGCAUAUUUCAAUGUGGCUAGCAUGAGAUCUGCAUAUUUCAAUGUGGCUAGCAUGAGAUCUGCAUAUUUCAAGGUGGUUAGGAGGUGGUUAGGAGGCGACAUUACAAAGACAAUAGUUCGUGUAUGAAGCUGCGACCCUCCUGCACGGGACAAUAUUAUUUUGUAUAUCAGACGAAAGUCGCAACACUGACGCUAACAUGAUAGAUCAAUCAAAAUUGUAUCUCCAAAAACAUUUCCAUAAUCAUCAAAAUUAUGUUGCAAGGCUGUUGCUGCCUAUGCGUCAACGUGUAAUGCACGUACAAUCAUCCGUGAUUUCGGUGAUCCGUGCAACAUGUUAACGUUGUCUUGUAUUAUCUGAAUGUGUGUGUUUUUUUUAUUUAUGUGACUGAAAUAAAAUAUUCUGUUGUUCUCCUGU
rnacentral:misc_RNA from 1 species